rnacentral:rRNA from 1 species
CCUACGGGUGGCAGCAGUCGAGAAUCAUUCACAAUGGGGGAAACCCUGAUGGUGCGACGCCGCGUGGGGGAAUGAAGGUCUUCGGAUUGUAAACCCCUGUCAUGUGGGAGCAAAUUAAAAAGAUAGUACCACAAGAGGAAGAGACGGCUAACUCUGUGCCAGCAGCCGCGGUAAUACAGAGGUCUCAAGCGUUGUUCGGAAUCACUGGGCGUAAAGCGUGCGUAGGCUGUUUCGUAAGUCGUGUGUGAAAGGCGCGGGCUCAACCCGCGGACGGCACAUGAUACUGCGAGACUAGAGUAAUGGAGGGGGAACCGGAAUUCUCGGUGUAGCAGUGAAAUGCGUAGAUAUCGAGAGGAACACUCGUGGCGAAGGCAGCAUGCCGGCUCCACACUGACGCUGAGGCACGAAAGCGUGGGUAUCGAACAGGAUUAGAUACCCGUGUAGUC